CAUGGCAGUCAAGGGGUCGCAAGACACCGGCAAACGAGGUAGUAACACGUGGGUACAUCCCUUUUAGUCAGGAAUAACCAGUCGAAAGACUGGCUAAUACUUGAUAGUCUCUUCGGAGUAAAGAUUUAUCGCUAAAAGAAUGGCCUGCGGAGUAUCAGCUAGUUGGUAGGGUAACGGCCUACCAAGGCUAUGACGCUUAGAGGGAGUGAGAGCUUGGCCCUCACCGAUGGUACUGAGACACGGACCAUACACCUACGGGUGGCCGCAGUCGAGAAUCUUCCGCAAUGGGCGAAAGCCUGACGGAGCGACGCCGCGUGAUGGAUGAAGACCUUAGGGUCGUAAACAUCUUUUAUGAGGGAGAAAGUUUAUUGAUAGUACCUCAAGAAUAAGGGGUUGCUAAACUCGUGCCAGCAGCAGCGGUAAUACGAGUGCCCCGAGCGUUAUCCGGAAUCAUUGGGCGUAAAGGGUGUGUAGGUGGCUGUGUUAGUCAAUUGUUAAAGCCUGGGGCUUAACCCCAGAUCUGCGAUUGAAACGGCACAACUAGAGGAUGGCAGGGAUGUGUAGAACUCAUGGAGUAGGGGUGAAAUCCGUUGAUAUCAUGGGGAAUACCGAAAGCGAAGGCAGCACAUUGGGCCACUCCUGACACUGAAACACGAAAGCGUGGGUAGCGAAUGGGAUUAGAUACCCCAGUAGUCCACGCCCUAAACGAUGAUGACUGGCUUUGCGGAGUAUCGACCCUCUGCGAGGCGAAGCUAACGCGUUAAGUCAUCCGCCUGGGUAGUA
rnacentral:rRNA from 1 species